ACUUACAUAUGGAAUUUAAAGAACAAAAUAGCCUGAUCUCAUCUGAUCUUGGAAGCUAAGCAGAGGCGGGCCUGAUUAGUACUUGGAUGGGAGACCACCUAAGGAAGACCAGGUGCUAUAGGCG
rnacentral:rRNA from 1 species